rnacentral:misc_RNA from 1 species
AAAUCAUCCCCGGAUCACACCAAACUUGGCCCCCAAACUGGGCACAGAUUUUCCAAUCUGGUCCUGGAGUUUGCCAGAAGGCAGGAGGACCACAGAGAUGUGUGGAAUGCAUCUGGCUUCUAUCCCAACUUCUGUGGUUAGUCAAGCUCGUCUGGUCUGAGAUUGAGUAUACACA